rnacentral:tRNA from 1 species
GGAGGGGUGGCAGAGCGGCCGAAUGCGAAGCUCUUGAAAAGCUUUGGGUGAGAGCCCCGGGGGUUCGAAUCCCUCCCCCUCCG